rnacentral:rRNA from 1 species
AGGGUUUGAUUAUGGCUCAGAACGUACGCUGGCGGCACGCCUAACACAUGCAAGUCGAACGAAGUAGCAAUACUUAGUGGCAGACAGGUGAGUAACAUGUAGGUAUCUGCCCUUUGGCCUGGAAUAACACGAGGAAACUUGUGCUAAUACCGGAUAAGUCUUUACGGAGAAAGCUUUAUGCACCAUUGGAUGAGCCUGCACUUGAUUAGUUUGUUGGUGGGGUAAUGGCCUACCAAGACUGUGAUCAAUAGCUGAUUUGAGAGGAUGAUCAGCCACAUUGGGACUGAGACACGGCCCAAACUCCUACGGGAGGCAGCAGUGGGGAAUCUUGCACAAUGGAGGAAACUCUGAUGCAGCGAUGCCGCGUGAGUGAAGAAGGCCCUUGGGUUGUAAAGCUCUUUCGUCGGGGAAGAAAAUGACUGUACCCGAAUAAGAAGGUCCGGCUAACUUCGUGCCAGCAGCCGCGGUAAUUCA